UUAAACCCAUUAGAUUUUAGUUGUGUUGACUAAAACAAAAACAAUUCAGAUAUGAUUUGUAUCUUUUAGAACAAUCAUAAAGUUCCAUUCCAUAAUUUCUUCUACUUUAACGGUUAAUUUUUAACCCAAGUAAUUUAUUCAUUUUAUAGUUCAAAAGAAACUAAAACAAGCCCUAAGAAACUCUUAAAGAUCUUUAUGUAAAUUUAUAGGUAGAAUAAUCGAUUUAUUGAUAUUUAUUUUAUAAUUCAAUGUUUUAGAGUAUUUAUCCAUGGCUUGUACUAACUCAAGGAGAGAGCUGCCUGGAUCUGUUAUUGUUAUAAGAACAUCAUCCGCACACAGACAUAAUUUGUUUUCGACUUGUUUACAGAUAAACCCCUUUAUCCCUUUGUUAGAUCUUAUAUUGAUUGCUAAAAUUUCAAUGGUAAGAACAUAAAGUAAGGGUGACAGGGGACAGCCCUGUCUGGUCACAUUGCUUAAAUCGAACCAAUUAGCCGUUACGUUCUGAACAAUUUUUUGUGCCAAUGGGUGGGAGCACAGUGUUCUUAUGGAAUCCAGAAAAAGAAUGUUGAACCCAAAAACUUGGAGAGACUGAAACGUAAAAUCAUAACUAAUCUAAACAAAAGCUAUCUCAGCGUCUAACAAGAUUGUUAUUAAAGUUUUGUCUUCUCUGUCUGCUAUGUCCAAGAUGAUAAUAAAUCUUCUUAUGUUAGUAUAGAAAAUCUAUAGCCUAUGAGUCGGGCUGCAGUCAGUGUAAGCUAAACUCCAUUAUUGCUACUCGUCUAUGUUACUGCAUAGUGUAGCACCUAUAGUUGUCUGCAUAGCUUGGUUUAUCUUCCUUACAUUUUAUUAAAAUGAGGCUGAAACUUUCUCUAAGUGAUGUGUUAGAUAUCUUCCAGUGGUAUAGCAAUAGCUCAGCUCCUGUUUGAUAUAUCUAUCUGUCUUGCCUACCUUUUUAUGUUCUUGUGUGACCAUAUCCUCCUGGGAACCGAGGAAAAAUGUGCUUGCUGCUAUGCCAUCUAUUUUUGAUGAAAAGGAAGAGGAAGUUCCCAGCAUCCCAUCCGAUCACAUGACAAAUCACUGGAAAGCACAGGAUGUCCUCUUUACAAUACAGCAGGAAUUGAUCAAAAGAAUAAAAGGAGAUGUAUGUGAACAAAAUGUCCAGUACAGAGGACACAAGUCUCAGAGGACAUGUUGUCUUUGCUAUAUGCCUCAAUAAAAAUGAAUUAAUAAAAAAUUUUUUAGUAUUUAAA